GACGAACGCUGGCGGCGUGCUUAACACAUGCAAGUCGAACGGUGAAGCGCCUUUUUUUUUGGUGGGUGUGGAUGAGUGGCUAACGGGUGAGUAAGAAGUGAGUAACCUGCCCCCUUCCUAUGGAUAACCGCACGAAGGUGUGGCUAAUACGUGAUCUACUGGGCCUGUGGCAUGUGGGGUCUGGGGAAGAUGUUGUUCCGGUGGGGGAUGGGGUCGCGGCCUACUAGCUGGUUGGUGGGGGGGUGGCCUACCAAGGCGGUGGCGGGUGGCCGGCCGGAGGGGGGGGACGGUCGCACUGUGAGUGCGGCACGGCCCACACUCCUACGGCGGGCAGCAGUAGGGAGUAUUGCACAACGGGGGGAAGCCUGAUGCAGCGGCGCCGCGUGGGGGAGGGUGGCCGUCGGGUGGUGAACCUCUUUCGCCAGUGAAGCAGGCCUGACUCGUUUGUGGGUGGGUUGACGGUAGCGGGAGAAGAAGCGCCGGCUAACUACGUG
rnacentral:rRNA from 1 species